rnacentral:piRNA from 1 species
GUGAGACUAGGCAGACCCUGGUUACCAUA